rnacentral:rRNA from 1 species
UGCCAGCCGCCGCGGUAAUACGGAGGGGGUUAGCGUUGUUCGGAAUUACUGGGCGUAAAGCGCACGUAGGCGGAUCGGAAAGUUGGGGGUGAAAUCCCAGGGCUCAACCCUGGAACUGCCUCCAAAACUAUCGGUCUAGAGUUCGAGAGAGGUGAGUGGAAUUCCGAGUGUAGAGGUGAAAUUCGUAGAUAUUCGGAGGAACACCAGUGGCGAAGGCGGCUUUCUGGCUCGGAUCUGACGCUGAGGCGCGAAAGUGUGGGGAGCAAACAGGAUUAGAUA